GAGAAGCUGUUCUCUGUCCUCUACACCACAUUUUACCCAACAGCUGUAAAAACCAGUUCAUUGCAGGGCCACACUCACCAAUGCUUUGCCCUGACCUCCGUGGGGAUGAAGUGAUUUGAGCGCCUCCUGCUGUCCAACCUCAGUUCCAUUACUCACCCUCUCCUGGACCAGCUGCGGUUCAUGUGAGAAGUAAGCUCGCCUAGAAGAAUAUAGUCUGAAAGGCUACACAACAUGCCUACUUCACUACAACAGGCCACCGGACAUAACUUCCUGGAUUAACGUGUAUUUUUACCACAAACAUGAUCUUUGC